rnacentral:rRNA from 1 species
UCGAUCUCAAAUCAAGUAAGACUACCCGCUGAACUUAAGCAUAUCAA